GACAUACUUGUGUAUUAGGAACGAUAUAGGUGGGAACAGCAUUACGUAGAGCUUUGAAAGCAAGGACCAGAAUUUUUAAUUGAGCCUUAUAUCUUACAGGAAGCCAAUGUAGGGACUGACAAGGGUAAGGCGUGGGAGGUGCGGGCGGACAGGAAGAUGAGCCUCACCGCCGCAUUCAUUACGGACUGGAAUGGUGCAAGUUGGGAGCACGUAAGACCACUGAGAAGCGGAUUACAGUAGUCAAAACGAGAAAGGACAGUGGAACGGACCAGCACCUUAGUCGCAUCUGGCACUAAGUAGGGUCAGAUGGGCACAAUGUUUUUGAGAUGAAGCGGCAGGAUUUGGCAAUAGACUGAACGGGAGGUGUAACGGAGAGGUCGGAGUCAAAGAGAACACUUAGGCAGCAAGCCUGCGAGGUGGAGCUGAUGGUAGCACUGUUUACUUGGAGGGAGAGACAAGAGUAGCAACACUUGAGGGAGGAAAGACCAGAAUUUCAGUUUUGGUCAAGAUGAGUUUAAGUGGGCAGCCAUCCAGCCAGAAAUAGAGAGGCAGUCAGAGACACUAGUCAAGAGGGACUGGGAGAGAUCAGGAGAGGACAGGUAGAUGUGCGUCAUCCGCCUAGAAAUGAUAUUGGAAGCCAAUGGAACUAAUACGUUUACCAAGGUAGGCAGUAUAGAUUGAGAACAGUAGGACCAAGGACUGAACCUUGGGGGACACCAACAGAGGAGUUAGGGAGAAGUAGAGCCAGAGAGAAACACUGAAAGAGCACCAGGAGAGAGCAUUAUCUUGUAUACUGAUAUUGGAGGAUGAGAAGAAGCUGUUGAUGAUUAACAGUGUCAAAAGCUACAGAAAAAUCAAUGAGAAUUAGGCUAGAGUAGUGACCAUGAGAUUUUGCAGCGAGUAGAUAACUGGAUACUUUGGUCAGUGCCAUUUCUACAGAGUGCUUAGCGCAGAAACCAGACUGAAGCGGGUCUAGCAGAGAAUUGGACUUGAACUUGAAGUCUGUCAAUGUCACAUACACAACUCUUUCAAGGAUCUUAGAUGCAAAAGGCACUAGCGAUAUAGGACAGUAAGUUGGAGACAAAGAUGGACUUCUUUAGAAUAGGGGUUACAGUUGCAUGUUUGAAGGGCGAUGGAAAUAUGCCAGAGGAGAGAGAACGAUUGAGAAUUUUAGUGAGAGGUAAACAAAGAAGAACUUACAGAUGAGAUGCAAGGGAAUUGGAUCUAAGGAGCAGGAGGACUGGAGCAGAAAACUUCUGCUGUAACGGGUGUGAAUGAACAUGGAUCAUCAGGAGUGAGGUAAUGGGAAGUAUUGCAAGGAGAGAUUUCUUCCCUGAUUGUAAAGAUCUGGUCAGUGAAGUGAGUUGCAAAGUCUGAGUUGGUCUAGUUAGUAGGUGGAGGAGGAACAGGGCAAAGAAGUUAAAUGUGUGAAGUAGUUGUUUGGGUUCACAGGAGUGUGGUGUUAUGAG